rnacentral:lncRNA from 1 species
CCUGCAAUCAGCAUUAGGGUUUUAAACCCUAAACUGAACUUUUUUCCAUUCAGCCAGCAUUAGGGUUUUAAACCCUAAACUAAGCUUUUCCAUGCCAUCAUCAUUAGGGUUUUAAACCCUAAACUGAAUUUUUCCUAUAGUCAGCAUUAGGGUUUUAAACCCUAAACUGAACUUUUUUCCAUUCAGUCAGCAUUAGGGUUUUAAAACCUAAACUGAACUUUUUCCUUUAAUCAGCAUUAGGGUUUAAUCCCUAAACUGAACUUUUUUCCAUUUAGCCAGCAUUAGGGUUUUAAACCCUAAACUGAGCUUUUCCAUGCAAUCAGUAUUAGGGUUUUAAACCCUAAACUGAACUCUUUCCUUUCAGUCAGCAUUAGGGUUUUAAACCCUAAGCUGAACUUUUCCUUUAGUCAACAUUAGGGUUUUAAACCCUAAACUGAACUUUUUUCCAUUCAGCCAGCAUUAGGGUUUUAAACCCUAAACUGAGCUUUUCCAUGCAAUCAGCAUUAGGGUUUUAAACCCUAAACUGAGCUUUUCCAUGCAAUCAGCAUUAGGGUUUUAAACCCUAAACUGAGCUUUUCCAUGCAAUCAGCAUUAGGGUUUUAAACCCUAAACUGAACAUUUUCCAUUCAGCCAGCAUUAGGGUUUUAAACCCUAAACUGAACAUUUUUCCAUUCAGCCAGCAUUAGGGUUUUAAACCCUAAACAGAGCUUUUCCAUGCAAUCAGCAUUAGGGUUUUAAACCCUAAACUGAACUUUUUUCCAUUCAGCCAGCAUUAGGGUUUUAAACCCUAAUAUGAGCUUUUCCAUGCAAUCAGCAUUAGGGUUUUAAACCCUAAACUGAACUCUUUCCUUUCAGUUAGCAUUAGGGUUUUAAACCCUAAACUGAACUUUUCCUUUAGUCAGCAUUAGGGUUUUAAACCCUAAACUGAACUUUUCCUUUAGUCAGCAUUAGGGUUUUAAACCCUAAACUGAACUUUUUUCCAUUCAGCCAGCAUUAGGGUUUUAAACCCUAAACUGAACUUUUUUCCAUUCAGCCAGCAUUAGGGUUUUAAACCCUAAACUGAGCUUUUCCAUGCAAUCAGCAUUAGGGUUUUAAAACCUAAACUGAACUUUUUUCCAUUCAGCCAGCAUUAUGGUUUUAAACCCUAACAAAACUUUUUUCCAUUUAGCCAUCAUUAGGGUUUUAAACCCUAAACUGAGCUUUUUCAUGCAAUCAGCAUUAGGGUUUUAAACCCUAAACUGAACUUCUUCCUUUAGUCAGCAUUAGGGUUUUAAACCCUAAACUAAACUUUUUUCCAUUUAGCCAGCAUUAGGGUUUUAAACCCUAAACAGAGCUUUUCCAUGCAAUCAGCAUUAAGGUUUUAUACCCUGAACUGAACUUUUUUCCAUUCAGCCAGCAUUAGGGUUUUAAACCCUAAACUGAGCUUUUCCAUGCAAUCAGCAUUAGGGUUUUAUACCCUGAACUGAACUUUUUUCCAUUCAGCCAGCAUUAGGGUUUUAAACCCGUCA